UACAGAGGUCCCAAGCGUUGUUCGGAUUCACUGGGCGUAAAGGGUGCGUAGGUGGUGAGGUAAGUCGGAUGUGAAAGCUCGGAGCUCAACUCCGAAAUGGCAUUGGAAACUACCUUGCUCGAGGGUUGGAGGGGGGACUGGAAUACUUGGUGUAGCAGUGAAAUGCGUAGAUAUCAAGUGGAACACCAGUGGCGAAGGCGAGUCCCUGGACAACUCCUGACACUGAGGCACGAAAGCUAGGGGAGCAAACAG
rnacentral:rRNA from 1 species